rnacentral:rRNA from 1 species
AGAGUUUGAUCAUGGCUCAGAAUCAACGCUGGCGGCGUGCCUAACACAUGCAAGUCGCGCGCGAAAGGGGGGCAACUCCCGAGUAGAGCGGCGAACGGGUGAGUAACGCGUGGGUGAUCUGCCUCCGAGUGGGGAAUAACAGCGGGAAACUGCUGCUAAUACCGCAUGACAUCCUCGAGUCGCAUCGGGGAUCAAAGCCGGGGACCGCAAGGCCUGGCGCUUGGAGAUGAGCCCGCGUCCGAUUAGCUCGUUGGCGGGGUAACGGCCCACCAAGGCUUCGAUCGGUAGCCGGCCUGAGAGGGCGGACGGCCACACUGGGACUGAGACACGGCCCAGACUCCUACGGGAGGCAGCAGUGGGGAAUUUUUCGCAAUGGGGGAAACCCUGACGAAGCAACGCCGCGUGGAGGAUGAAGGCCUUCGGGUCGUAAACUCCUGUCGACCGGGAAGAAUGCACCCGACCUAAUACGUCGAAGUGUUGACUGUACCGGUGGAGGAAGCCACGGCUAACUCUGUGCCAGCAGCCGCGGUAAUACAGAGGUGGCAAGCGUUGUUCGGAAUUACUGGGCGUAAAGGGCGCGUAGGCGGCCCGCCAAGUCCCGUGUGAAAGCCCCCGGCUCAACCGGGGAACGGCGCGGGAAACUAGCAGGCUCGAGUUCGGGAGAGGGAAGCGGAAUUCCGGGUGUAGCGGUGAAAUGCGCAGAUAUCCGGAGGAACACCGGUGGCGAAGGCGGCUUCCUGGACCGACACUGACGCUGAGGCGCGAAAGCUAGGGGAGCAAACGGGAUUAGAUACCCCGGUAGUCCUAGCCCUAAACGAUGAGCACUGGGUGUAGGGGGUAUGAACCCCCCCUGUGCCGAAGCUAACGCAUUAAGUGCUCCGCCUGGGGAGUACGGUCGCAAGGCUGAAACUCAAAGGAUUG